GCUACAGUCUCAUACAGCGGUGGAAAACUCUUGAGAGCGCUGAGUCUCUCGUCACUUCAGUGAAGUCUGUUCCUCACAUCAAGUCAUCGUACAGUUUCAGUGGAUCAUCUGAAGCUCAGCAGCUGCUGGUCACGUUCACUUUUAUUGCAUGGAAAACAGCAGCUCGAGGCAUUCUGCUGAACAUCUGCUUCAGUUUUCAACAGGAGAAAGUCAGUCAUACAGCUUUCAAGUGACAUGAUCUUCAUCCUGUGGAGAUUACUGGAUGUACCUUGCGUCGUGUCACCUUGUCCCAGCCUUGAACAUGUCCUGACAACCACGUCAUGAGCAAAGAUCCCAGCUCAUAAUG
ensembl:lncRNA